UACGAAGGACCCGAGCGUUAUCCGGAUUUAUUGGGUUUAAAGGGUGCGUAGGCGGAUUAGUAAGUCAGUGGUGAAAGCCCAUCGCUUAACGGUGGAAUUGCCAUUGAUACUGCUAGUCUUGAGUAUGGUUGAGGUGGGCGGAAUGUGUCAUGUAGCGGUGAAAUGCUUAGAUAUGACCCAGAACACCAAUGGCGAAGGCAGCUCGCUAAGCCAUAACUGACGCUGAUGCACGAAAGCGUGGGGAGCAAACAGG
rnacentral:rRNA from 1 species